rnacentral:rRNA from 1 species
UACGGAGGAGGCAAGCGUUAUCCGGAAUUAUUGGGCGUAAAGCGUCCGCAGGUGGCGAUUCAAGUCUGCGGUCAAAGACUGGGGCUUAACCCUGGAAAGGCCGUGGAAACUGAAUAGCUAGAGUGCAGUAGGGGUAGAGGGAAUUCCCGGUGUAGCGGUGAAAUGCGUAGAGCUCGGGAAGAACAUCGGUGGCGAAAGCGCUCUGCUGGACUGCAACUGACACUCAGGGACGAAAGCUAGGGGAGCGAACAGG